AAACCAACAGGGAUUGCCUCAGUAACGGCGAGUGAAGCGGCAAAAGCUCAAAUUUGAAAUCCAGUACCUUCGGUGCUCGAGUUGUAAUUUGAAGAUGGCAACUUUGGGGGUGGCCUUUAUCUAUGUUCCUUGGAACAGGACGUCACAGAGGGUGAGAAUCCCGUCUGAUGAGGUGAUCCACUCCUAUGUAAAGUGCUAUCGAAGAGUCGAGUUGUUUGGGAAUGCAGCUCUAAGUGGGUGGUAAAUUCCAUCUAAAGCUAAAUAUUGGCGAGAGACCGAUAGCGAACAAGUACAGUGAUGGAAAGAUGAAAAGAACUUUGAAAAGAGAGUGAAAAAGUACGUGAAAUUGUUGAAAGGGAAGGGUAUUAGAUCAGACUUGGUGUUGUGUGAUUAUCUUCCCCUUGUGGGUUGUGCACUCGCGCUUCGCUGGGCCAGCAUCGAUUCGUGUGGUGGGAUAAUGGCGUUGGAACGUGGCUCUUCGGAGUGUUAUAGCCUUCGCUGAUACCGCCUACGUGGAUCGAGGACUGCGUCCUUUUGGACUAGGAUGCUGGCGUAAUGAUCUAAUAUCGC
rnacentral:rRNA from 1 species